GGSUUAUUGAUAAUAAUUUUAGGUYUAACCUGCCCAAUGAUUAAAAAUUAAAUGGCCGCGGUAUACUGACCGUGCAAAGGUAGCAUAAUCAAUAGUUUUUUAAUUGAAAGCUUGUAUGAAAGGUUGAAUGAGAAAAUAACUGUCUCUAUUUAAAUUAAUUAGAAUUUUAUUUUUAAGUUAAAAAGCUUAAAUAAAUAUAGAAGACGAGAAGACCCUAUAGAGUUUUAUAAUUAUUAAUAUAGAUGAAAUUUUAGUAUUUUUUAGUUUAUAAAAAUAAUUAUUUGAUUGGGGUGAUUAAAAAAUUAAAUAAACUUUUUUUUUAUAAAUACAUUAAUUUAUGAGUAUUUGAUCCUUUUAUAAAGAUUAUAAGAUAAAAUUACCUUAGGGAUAACAGCGUAAUUUUUUUUUAGAGUUCAAAUUAAAAGAAAAGAUUGCGACCUCGAUGUUGGAUUAAAAUAAAUUAUUGGUGUAGAAGCUAAUAAAUUAGGUCUGUUCGACCUUUAAAAUUUUACAUGAUCUGAGUUUAAACCGGCGUAAGCCAGGUCGGUUU
rnacentral:rRNA from 1 species